rnacentral:misc_RNA from 1 species
GGACCACCCACUGAGCCCACCUCCGAAUUUACCCUCUUCAAUCCAUUAUCAACCUCAGUCAGAGACAAUCGAGAAUUACCAUACCCACCAACACCAAGCUGCACUUCCUUGGCUUCAAUCCUUUUCACCAAACUCCUUACCAUAUCAAGUUCACUCUCGAGCUUCCUCCUGAGAUCUCUCAUCUCCUGCUUAGACUUGGACGCCAAAUUUAUCUUUACCUUAUUGUCCAAACCUCGCUUCACUACCCCAUUGCCAGCAGUCAGUUCCGGACCACUUGGGGCCACAGCUGGCGUUCCUUGAUGCCUAUUGAGGCUAGAAGAAUCGUCCGAGUUGGCAUCCAGGCGAGAAAUGGGCUGUUGCUGGGCCGAAUUUGUGUCUUCUAAAGCUG